rnacentral:rRNA from 1 species
GGAAUACUCCCAGAGUCUUCGGACUCUCGGAAGGGCCGUACGAGACGAGUACGUUGAUAGGCAGCAGGUGGAAGUGUGGCAACACAUGGAGCCGAGCUGUACUAAUCGCCCGUGAGGCUUGACCAG